rnacentral:snRNA from 1 species
UUACUUACCUGGACGGGGUCAUCUCUUGAUCAAGAAGACGAGUGGCCUAGGCUAGUGACCUCCAUUGCACUAAGGAGGGGUGCUUAGUAUAAGGUCUCCCCAAGUGGGAGAGCCUGCGUCAUCAUUUGCAGCAGAGGGAUCCUGCGUUUGCGCGGCUUCUAC